rnacentral:lncRNA from 1 species
UCACACCUGAGGAUUAAUUGAAGCCAUGUAGAAUUAAAGACAAUAGAAAAAACUACAUAACAACCACAUCUCGCCACUGUGAAAAUGCGAAAAAGCUCACAUGCAUCAUAUAUACAGUUGGUAGUCAAGCUAAUCACAAAGCUAGAAAAGCCAACAAUAAAUUAAGAGAAUGAAAGAAAAUCAACAUGGAGAAACCACCAGAGAAGCUGCUAGAAUCAGUUGCAUGCAUCAACUCAUACCUAUCUAUGAAUUAGCCUCAUCAAAGUAGAAAUUUUGAGACCACACAAAUGCUUAUUCAUAGGAGGAUUGGAAUUACUACUAAAAAUAGUACAAUCAUUAAAUUAUAAAUGGAAUGUUUAUCUUAAAAUUUUAAACUUAGAAAAUAACUCAAUUAGUUAUUUAUAUUCUAAUACAUCUUUAAGUUAUAAGAGUUCUUAUAUUAAAAGUGUGAAUCAUACACAUAUGUCAUAAAUAUUAUACAACUUAUAUUUUUAAUAUAAUUACGGCUGUAACAUCACCGAUACCGAAUGUAACAACCCAAACCCUCAUCCAGAGUCCUGACCGUACGCACACUAUAUUAUGAUAAAAUAAUCUAUAAGAAUAUUUUACACAGCAAAUUUUAAAAUAAAAAAAAGUACAUCGCUAAUAUACUUAGCUCAAAAUAUCCAAUAUUCAUGAGGUAAGUCCAAACUCUAAAAUAAAUACUUACUAGAAAAGAAAUAAUUAACCUUAAAUACUGUUCGAAUUAAAAUAAAAAUUAAACGAUCUCCUAGCAAGUCUUUCACUGUUCAGGACCGGGAUUUUAAUUAUCUUGAUCUGAAAAAAAAUAAAUAAUAAAUAGGGUGAACUUAAUAUACUCAGUAAACGUGUAAGUACCAAUAAAUAAUAGGACAAUCUAUUCAAUUUGGUAGAAAACUUAAAACAACCAACGAAGAGUGUUCAAAAUACUUUUCUCUUUAAUUCAGACAACACGUGAUAUCUAUACCCUAAUUCAUUCACCAAACCUUCUAAAUCAGUUUAUUCAGUAAACAUUCAGAAUUCAUUAUUUCAGUAACAUAACUUAGGGUAUGAACAAUUCAAUAAAUAGUAUAAUUCAAUAUUCAGUAUCACAAUUAAACAAUAAGUAGUUCAAUAAAUAUUAAUUCAGUAUUUC